UAUGAAGUCAUUAUUCUCUCCCUGCUUCCCCCCACUUCAGGACCAGCACCCCCCCCCCCCACCACUCCUCCUCAAAUCGGAGGCCAAGGCUCUGUAAUUAUCUUGGAGAGGAACGGCGGCUGGAGGCGUCAGAGGGCCCUCAGAGUCUUCAACCCCAGCCCCCUGUUGGAGCCAAAGUCAGGUGCAAAAACCUCACGUCCCGAAUUGGCAUUCAAGCAUUGGAACGGCUCUCUGGUGGGCUGUGUGCCCCCGCCGCCGACUCUGGUCCUUGCCCAGCUCCAGCAGAAGGUCACCCAGAACACAGUGUUGGUUGGAGCCAGGCAUUCCAACAUCUCCGCUACACCACGCUGUUUGCCAUGAUGAGAGGAAUACGCUCUGCCCACUGGCUAGGGCGGUGGUGGGAUAGGUGGAAGUCAGAUGUGUGUGUGUGUGUGUGUGUGUGUGUGUGUGUGUGUGUGUGUGUGUGUGUGUGUGUGUGUGUGUGUGUGUGUGUGUGUGUGUGUGUGAGGAAAAGCCAAUACAAAUCAUAACAAACAAACUGAAAACAAGUUUCUUCAUUGCUCUCUACAUUAUCUCUCUCUCGUCUAUUAUUGAGCACUCAAACAUCUUUAAGGCCUUAUUUAUUUACAUGAAAUGUGAAGUUUUUUUUGUUGCUGAGUUUUAUGAAGUGCGUACAAGAUACACACAGCCUUCAACUGAAAUAUUUGGUUCCCUAGAAAUUUAAAUAAAACAAUUAUCUGG
ensembl:lncRNA